rnacentral:rRNA from 1 species
AUGUCCUCCUCCGAUGACCUCGUCCGCCGGAUCGCCGCCUUCUUCCCGCUCCCGCCGCCCCCGCAGAAGCAGCAGCUCUCCGGCGUCGCCGCCGCGGUCCUCAGCGCGGGCGGCCGCCUCGGCCGCGCCGUGGGCGACGUCUUCCGCCGCCUGCGCAUCGACGACGGCCUCGACAUCGCGUACGCGCGGCGGCACCGGAGGGUCGUCCCCGGCAGAGGCGGCACGAUGGCCGACGGUGAUGGCGCGCGGAGCAAGCAGGACCAGAUCGCUGGCUCUGGUGCCGAUAGUCCGGCGGUAGGCGGCUCCGGGCGGUUCGCGCGGUCGCAGGGGAGCAUGGUGCUGUCGGCGGCGUUCGACAGCAGGACGAACGACGUGGAGAGCUCCGUGGCGGCCCGCGGCGACCUGUGGCGCGCCGAGGCAUCGCACUCCAGCAGCAACAGCAGAGGCGGCGGCGAUGGUGCCGCGGCGCCGCUGUUCCUGGUGCAGCUCGGCCCCGUGCUCUUCCUCCGCGACACGACGCUGCUCUUCCCCGUGCACCUCUCCAAGCGCCACCUCAUCUGGUACGGCUUCGAGCGCAAGAACGGAGUGCACUCGGUGUGCCCGGCGUACUGGACAGCUCGCCGGAGAUGCUUCUUCAUGUCGAUGAUCUGCCUCAACCCAUUUGCCUGCUCGUUCAUGGACAUGCAAUUCCCCAACGGGCAGCUGAGAUACGUGGCCGGCGACGGGUUCACUGCCCGCGGAUUCCUCCCCAUCGGCGGCGGCGGCAUCGUCCAGGCCCACGGAAAGUUCCCCGGGGAGAAGAGGCUCAGCUUCUCCUACAAGAACGGCAGCGGGGGCAGCAUCACCCCGACCGUCCAGUGGCCGGACAGGUCCCUCUCGCUGGGGCUAACCCAGGUGCUCUCCUGGAGGAGGAGCGGCCUCAUGCUGCAGCCAGCGCUGCAGCUCAGCGUGUGCCCCACGUUCGGAGGGUGCCGGCCCGGGGUGUCGACGGAGCUGGUCCAUUCGGUUAGCGAGGAGGCCAGCGUCGCCUGCGGCUACUCCCGCACCGCCUCCCCCUCCGCCUACGCUUCCGUGUCGCUCGGGAGAUCGAAGCUGAACGGCAGCGCGUCGAGCUCAGGGCUGGUGUUCAGAGUGGACGCGCCGCUGCACGGUUUUGGGCGGCCAUGGUUCUCCAUCCAGAUGAACAGUGGGCUCGAGUUCUGA